AUGAGACAGUAUCUGAAGAUAAGCCUUCCCUGAAAAACUUUCAUCUUCUUUGAAAAAAGAACCAAAAACAGGACUGCGUUCUUGGGAAGAGCAAGAAUAGUUCUACCCUUGGAAAGAACAAGUUUAUUCCAGUUCUUUAUCAUGGAGAGGGACUUUGGUGAAGAGAGAAAUCAGCAGACCCUCUGCAUUUCCUGGGACAUCAGCAAGGUCACAUAUGAAGAAGAGGAGGAGCAGUUUUGCCCGUAUGUCCAGCCCUCUCUCUUCCCUGAUGGGCACGGGAGGCCUGGAACAAAGCAGAAGUACUGCAGCUUCACUUAGAGUAAUGAGGUUUGGGAGCAAAGAACCUGUGCAAGGGAUCUGCUCCAUCUAUAGGGUCUGGGACAGAGCUCAGUAGGGUCUCCCUGUGACUUAGAGGGAGUGAUGGGGCUGGUUGAUCAGCUGUUAUGCAUAUCCAGCAGCCAAUGCACUCACCCUUUCAGAGGAGAGGGAUACUGCAGCCCUGAGGCUACAGUAUUCACUGCAAAGCAGCACUGCGAUGAUUCAACCAUCUUUGUGGAGGAGUCAUUUUUCUUCUCCUGUCAUUCAGUGCCAUCCCUUGUGACAAGUUUGUGUAUGCAAGCUGGACAUUAGAACUAGAAUGUACCCUUCUGCAUUUAUGACUGUAAAGGAUCACUGAUCCUUGGCACUGAUUUGAUCUCAAUUUGCUCUUAGAGCAGCUGCAGAGUUCUAAGCUGCACCAACUGCAAGGAAUCUUUCCAGUAACGGAUCACUAGAGCCUGAGUUCUUCAGCCGUGCCCCUUUCCCCCACCACACCCUCUGUGCAGGGUGAGAGAGGGUGGUAUGAACCUGCCAGAUUUCCGUCCGUCCGUCCCCCUCUCACUCCCCCAUGCCUCGCAGGAGGAAUUCUCAACUGGCUGGAUAAGACAGCUCUAAGGCAGCUUUUUCAUUGUUCAACAGGACCAAGUCUCUGGCCCUUUGCAUUAAGAAUACUGAGUACUGAAAGCUCACAGAAAACCAGGCAUGAUCAACCCAUAUCGUGUAUUUAAAAAAAUAAUUUGAAAAUAUCACUCUUUGCUGUGGACAUUAUACCAGCAGAAAACGAAGCUGAACUCAGGUUUGUGCAAAUUAUUCACUCAGGUCUCUCAUACUGUUAUACAUAUUGUUUAGUCAUUCUCUUUAGAAGAAAGAGAAGGGGAAGUAAUAACAAAAACAGGAACAAAUUUCAAAGUCAAACAAUCAUAAUACAGUAAAACCUUUUU